GAUUAACGCUGGCGGCGUGCAUAACACAUGCAAGUCGAACGAUGAAACUCAUUAGAUUUCUUCGGAAUGAAAAUGAAUGGAUUAGUGGCGAACGGGUGAGUAACGCGUGAGUAACCUGCCUUACACAAGGGGAUAGCCUCUGGAAACGGAGAAUAAUACCCUAUGAAACCAGACAAUCGCAUGAUAAUCUGGUCAAAAUGUUUAGUGGUGUAAGAUGGACUUGCGUCUGAUUAGCUAGUUGGUGAGAUAAAAGCUCACCAAGGCAACGAUCAGUAGCCGGCUUGAGAGAGUGUACGGCCACAUUGGGAAUGAGACACGGCCCAGACUCCUACGGGAGGCAGCAGUGGGGAAUUUUGCACAAUGGGGGAAACCCUGAUGCAGCGACGCCGCGUGAUUUAGAAGGCCUUCGGGUUGUAAAAAUCUUUUGUAUAGGAAGAAAAUGACAGUACUAUACGAAUAAGGUCCGGCUAAUUACGUG
rnacentral:rRNA from 1 species